rnacentral:rRNA from 1 species
CCUACGGGAGGCAGCAGUGGGGAAUCUUGCGCAAUGGGCGGAAGCCUGACGCAGCAACGCCGCGUGCGGGAAGAAGGCCUUAGGGUCGUAAACCGCUUUCAGGGGGGACGAAGCUUCCGGGGUUAAUAGCCUACGGGGUGACGGUACUCCCAAAAGAAGGUCCGGCUAACUACGUGCCAGCAGCCGCGGUAAUACGUAGGGACCGAGCGUUGUCCGGAAUCAUUGGGCGUAAAGAGCGUGUAGGCGGCCUAGUAGGUCUCGUGUGAAAUCCCGUGGCUCAACCACGGACACGCACGGGAAACCCCUAGGCUCGAGUCCGGAAGAGGAGAGCGGAAUUCCUGGUGUAGCGGUGAAAUGCGCAGAUAUCAGGAAGAACACCCGUAGCGAAGGCGGCUCUCUGGGACGGUACUGACGCUGAGACGCGAAAGCGUGGGGAGCAAACAGGAUUAGAUACCCUGGUAGUCCACGCCGUAAACGAUGGAUGCUAGGUGUGGGAGGUGUCGACUCCUCCCGUGCCGAAGCUAACGCAUUAAGCAUCCCGCCUGGGGAGUACGGCCGCAAGGCUAAAACGUCAAAGGAAUUGACGG